CUACGGGACGCUCCAGUGGGGAAUAUUGCACAAUGGGCGCAAGCCUGAUGCAGCCAUGCCGCGUGUAUGAAGAAGGCCUUCGGGUUGUAAAGUACUUUCAGCGGGGAGGAAGGGAGUAAAGUUAAUACCUUUGCUCAUUGACGUUACCCGCAGAAGAAGCACCGGCUAACUCCGUGCCAGCAGCCGCGGUAAUACGGGGGGUGCAAGCGUUAAUCGGAAUUACUGGGCGUAAAGCGCACGCAGGCGGUUUGUUAAGUCAGAUGUGAAAUCCCCGGGCUCAACCUGGGAACUGCAUCUGAUACUGGCAAGCUUGAGUCUCGUAGAGGGGGGUAGAAUUCCAGGUGUAGCGGUGAAAUGCGUAGAGAUCUGGAGGAAUACCGGUGGCGAAGGCGGCCCCCUGGACGAAGACUGACGCUCAGGUGCGAAAGCGUGGGGAGCAAACAGGAUUAGAUACCCUGGUAGUC
rnacentral:rRNA from 1 species